UCGUGCGGUGAGCUGCGAGAUCCACCCCGAAGACGCCACGCUCUGGUCCAUCCCGGAACCUGGGCGUCGUCACACUCAGUGAAGCCUUUGCAGAUGUGAUUAACUGGAGGCUCUUGAGAUGGGAGACUUCCCUGGGUUACGGGGUGGGAGUGGGCUCCUGCAUGGCACUGUCUGUCUGAUGAGAACAAAGCAGAGGGAGAGUGGACAGACACACAGCAAGGACCAGCAAGGUGGAGGCCAAGACGGGCAUGACCCGGAUGUGACCACAAGCAAAGGAAUAGUGACUACCCAGCGGCAAGCAGAGGCCUCACCCGCUGGGCUCCUCCCGGAAACACCGGGGUGAGAGAAGUGAGCUGACCCCACCGUGCUGGCUGCAGGCUGUCUGGAGCAGGACACCUCUGUGUCCCCCUUCACAGCGGGACCCUUGUCACCGUGAACUCUGCUGUCUUGUGUGAUGUUUUUUACUCUAAUUCCAACCGAUGGGAAACUGUAACCUGUUUUCAGUUUAUUUACAUUUGCCUGAAAGAC